UAGGGAAUCUUCGGCAAUGGACGAAAGUCUGACCGAGCAACGCCGCGUGAGUGAAGAAGGUUUUCGGAUCGUAAAACUCUGUUGUUAGAGAAGAACAAGGACGUUAGUAACUGAACGUCCCCUGACGGUAUCUAACCAGAAAGCCACGGCUAACUACGUGCCAGCAGCCGCGGUAAUACGUAGGUGGCAAGCGUUGUCCGGAUUUAUUGGGCGUAAAGCGAGCGCAGGCGGUUUCUUAAGUCUGAUGUGAAAGCCCCCGGCUCAACCGGGGAGGGUCAUUGGAAACUGGGAGUCUUGAGUGCAGAAGAGGGGAGUGGAAUUCCAUGUGUAGCGGUGAAAUGCGUAGAUAUAUGGAGGAACACCAGUGGCGAAGGCGGCUCUCUGGUCUGUAACUGACGCUGAGGCUCGAAGGCGUGGGGAGCAAACAGG
rnacentral:rRNA from 1 species